GUCCAUGUGAUGAGAAAUGGAGGCACCCUAUCAACAGCCAGCAACAACUUGCUAUCAUUUAGCCAUUGGGAGUGACUCUCAGAGAAAUGGCCCCUGUCCCCAGAGCCUAGUCUUGUGGACUUUCCCAGCUGCCCACCAUCAUCACUGAGUGACUCAGGUACAGCUGACUCUGCUUCCUGCAGACUUUCCAAGGGCCUCAAGGAACCUAUUGCCACAGUUCUUACUGCUGGACAUGAACAAGCUGCCCAGUGGAUUUUGAGUUGGAAACAGGUCUUGAAAGGCUUUAAAGUCAGUGGGCCACAAAUCUUCAUCAUGUCAACUUAGGGCCUGACUUCCUUAACAAGACUCCAAAAGCACAAGAAGUAAAAUUGAGAAUUAAUAAAUGGGAUGGAUUCAAACUAAAAUCUUCUUCUCAACGAAGGACACAACUACAUAUAGAGAGAGCCUGCAGAAUGGGAGAAAAUCUUUACCACACACACUUCAUAUAGAGCAUUAAUCUCCAGAAUAUAUAAAGAACUCAAAAAA